CCCACCCCCACCCCCCUUUCUCACGGGUCCAUCCAGGGCUCUGGAGUGCCCUCGCUGACAGCAGCCGGUAGGUGGCACCAAAGCAUCUGAUACAGAACUGUGAGCCUCAGUAACUGCAGCCUUAGGGAUUUAUGUGAUCCCUGCCGAUUUCCAUGGCCUGUGAGAGUAGAUAGUUUCAUUAGACUGGAAUCUUUACAUCUCCAAGUUCCACAUCGGCUUUCUCAAUAAAUUCAAAGUGCCUCUUGAUGACUUGAUGAUAAGAACAGCCUUCUUCUCCUCACUUAGAGCUGAAAGUCAGCUGUGGUAGGUGGAGAGGACCAACCACCUGGAAGGCUCUGAGAUCAUCCUCUUGGCAGAACUGUGCUGAGGUUGACGCUCUGGGGAUGUACUCUACCACUGAUGUUUACCACCAUGGUCCUAACAGGUUUUCACAGGCAGAUGGGCCUCUGCAAUGGGCGGUAAAAUAAUGUCUUAGCUGAAGUCCAGGGCUCCUCAGCUGAAGAUGCAUUUCAGGGUUCUGCCUUCUCCUAAGGGACUCAGUUGACUUUCCAGGAAGAAGUCUGUCACUUGGGAGCAAGUAAACUAUUAACAACACAGGACAGUCAUGGACUUUGGGCAAGAAAUCUGUGUGGCAGGACUGGGGGGGGGUGCAGAUGUGGUCCAGUGGGAAGAAGAGGCCAUUGAACAAGACCAGGGACAAGGCACUGUCAGGCCCCGGAGCUGCUGCUUACUGUGGUGACUAAGGACCCAAGCACUGCCUGCGCCGUCAGCUGUGACCUUUAUGUCAAGAGUUCACUAUUUAAAGCCAGAUAUGAUGGUACGUUUUCCCUGUAACCCCAGCACUUGGGGGUGUGGGUCAAAGGCCAGACAGGAGUCAAGCACAAGUUCAAAGAUUUCCAAUUCAAGGCCAGCCUGGGCUAUUCCCAAAACUCCAUCUCAAAAAUAGCAAACAAAGGAUUUAGCCCUUAGGUCUCACAUAACUGAAAACAGCUAAGUUGUUUAGACUGGCCUGGCUUGGCUUGGCUUGGCUUGGCUUUGUGCUGAGUAUGCUGAGGGGUGAAUGCUAUAGGCGAGACAGCACACUAAGUUCAAGGCUGGGCACCUGAGUUUCCACUGCAUAGAUCAAGUACAGUAAGCCCCCACACAGCGAACAGUUGACAACAGCUAUAACAAAAGUAAAGUUCCCAUAGAGGACGAGCAGCAGAGAAGUAAUAUAUUCUUUGCCCACAACACAGUAAACUCUCAAAAGGUGCUUGGAAAGAGGGGGUAUACAUGCUGGGUCCUACUGGUUGCUGUCCUCCUCCUGUCCUACAGUAAGCAAGGACAACACAGGGCUCCACAAACAGUGCUCACCACCAUGGUGACUAACAUUUGUACUCCCUCUCUCCAUGGUAACAGGGGAAUCACUGUUCUCAAGUCCUCGUGCGGUGAUGGGACUUGUUGUCCUGGGACCUGAGAAAGGAAAUUGAGUUCUCAGAUAAUGCAAUGUACCACCCCAGGGCCUUGCUAUUUGGGACAACUGAUGUGUGAUGUCAGAGUCUAGGGAGAGAGAAUAUUUUUUUGUAGGUCACUUCUAAGACUUAGUGUGACAUGAAAGAUGAAACUUUCUCAGCCCUUUGAUUUCCAAUUUCUGUGAUGGAGGGUGAAUGAAUGCUCUCACUAACAUCUGGGAAAGUACGUUUUCAACAGCACUGAGUGGUAGGAUGUGGAAGGCUCUCCAAAUGUCUACACCCAACCCCCUGAACCCACAAACAGGUUACCUUUCAUGAUAAAUGAACUUUAAAGAAAUGAUUCACUGGGCAGUAGUGGUACACGCCUUUAAUCCCAGCACUUGGAGGCAGAGGCAGGCAGAUUUCUGAGUUCAAGGCCAGCCUGGUCUACAGAGUGAGUUCCAGGACAGUCAGGGCUAUACAGAGAAACCCUGUCUCAGGAAAAAAAAAAAGAAAAAGAAAUGAUUGAGUUGAUGAGGGAUGGCUCAGUGGUUAAGAGCACUGACUGCUCUUCUAGAGGUCCUGAAUUCAAUUCCCAGAAACCACAUGGUGGCUCACAACCAUCUGUAAUAGAAUCCAAUGCCGCCUUCUGGUGUGUCUGAAGACAUCAACAGUGUGCUCAUAUACAUAAAAUAAAUAAAUCUUUAAAAACGUUUUUAAGAAAUAAUUAAGAUCUUGAGGUGGACCAGGCAGUGGUGGCGCACACCUUUAAUCAAAGCACAGAAGAAGCAGAGGCAGGCCGAUCUCUGCGUUUCAGGGCUAGCCUGAUCUACAAAGCGAGUUCCAGGACAGCCUGGACCUGGGAGAAGCAGAAACUGACCAGGCUACCCUGGAAGAAGCUUAGACCAACUGAGGCCCCUGGAAAGGACGCUCUCCAACCCGUUGCACUGCCUGCAGACUGUGCCCAGUGCUCCAGGUCCCCAGGUCCCCAGUGAGCUGGGGUGGGCUCUGGUGAUACAGCUGUCACCUCUGCUCCUGUAGUUAACCCCUCACUCAUAUUCCUGUAAGUGACCUGUCUUACUCAGUGUUCUCUUGCUGUGAAGAGGUACCAUAAGCAAGGCAACCCAUUUUUUUUAAAAAAAAAUUUAAAUUAGGGCUUGCUUAGUUUCAAAAAUGUAGUUCAUUAUCAUCAUGACAGGAAGCAUGGCAGACACAGUAGUUGAGGGCUCUACAUCUGGAUCCACAGUCAGCCGGAGAAAGCCUCUCUUCUGAAAUCUCAAAGCCCACCCAUAGUGACACACUUCCUUCAACAAGGUCACGCCUCCUAAUCCUUUCAAAUAGUGGAGCUCCCUGUGGAUCAAGCAUUUAAAACUUUGAGUCUAUGGGGGCCAUUCUUACUCAAACCCCUACACAACCCCAAUCAAACUCAUUGGUUCACCGAGUUGGACUUUGGAGCAAUCAGUACUUUGGUCUGCUGUAGGUUCCCUCUCUGGGUGAGUAGACGUGUGUGUUGCAAUUUCCCAAGGAAAAGUUGUAUCACACACCACCCAUGCUUCAGGGCCAGAGGCAAAUCCUGCCUGCUUUCUGUUACACGUGGAAGGUGGAAUGCUAAGCCUUGUGGCUCACGCCUUUAAUCUCUGUACCCGUGAAGCAAAAAAACAGGUGGAGCCCUGUGAGUUCCAGGUGAGACAGGACAACGUAAUGAGGCCCCACAAAAAAGAUUGUGUGUCUCUCUGUGUGUGUGUAUGUAUGUUUGUGUUAGUGUAUGUGUAUAUGUCUGUAUAUGUGUGUUUGUGUAAGUAUGUGUAUAUGUGUAUGCAUGUGUGAGUGCAUGUGUGUGUGUGUAUGUAUGUGUGUGGAUAAUGUUAGGAACAAGCAAAAGAAGCAUAUUCUAAGUACUAACUAAGUUCAAGGUCCCAGGCCCUAAGGGAGCUGGGGACUUCCCUGAAGCUGAACAGCUUCUGUUGUAAACAGCUGGCUGAGUCCAGACAUCUCAGGGACAACUUGUAAAGAGACAGUUCUCGGAGUCUAGCCCUCGCAAGGACAGUUUCUCCAUCUUCUUGUCAGGGUCAAAGAAGUUCAUGUUCCCAGGUCUAGGAGCCUAUCCCACUUCUCCAAAUGUUUUAAUUGUCUAUUAGCCAGUAACGAAUAAAGAAAUUGUUGUUAUCUGAACCAAGGUGCGUAAGUUAUAAAGGUAUAUAACCAAUUGCCCACUAUGCCCUAACUGACUAUGUACAACUUACCCAGCCCUUUGUUCACUUAUCAUUUUAAAAUUCCGGGCCAGAGUCCAGGAGAGGACCUGGCUGUAAAAGCUGAGUUAAGGACCUGGAAGCCUGGUGCCCUGGAUACAGCCCAGUCUCCAACGAGCAGUCCCUUCCUUAACUCAAUGUCAAACUAGAGCUGGAUAACACUGCCGCUACCCCGGCUCCCCCGGCUUUGUGUUUUCAUACUUUAAAAACAUUGUACAAAACCCCCUUUGGGGAGUUGGUUCAGAUCCUGAACUGGCCACCCCCCCCCCAACUCCACCCCCCCCCCCAGCACUCAGAAGAGAAAAAUUCUCAGGAAAUUUAAGCUGUCGGCCAGUUCCCGAAGUGAGUUUUCUUGGCUUCCACCAGAACCCCAACAGUGAUAAAGUAUAAAAAGGCCUGUGAUAAGAGAAGAUUUUCAAAUCUGUGUGACGUGAAUGCAGAAGGCAGGACUGAAAACUACAGGUGGGGAGGGGGAAGAAAGGAGAGGGAGUUUGAGGCCGGAAGUUAGGCAAGGAUUGUGGGAAAAGAUCAUGAAAAAGAAGAAAGUGCCACAUGAAUGUGAAAAUGAUGCAAUAAAACCAUUUACUUUUAUGAUAA